UUGCUCUCCUUCUCCAUCGUCUUCGGCUUUCCUGCAUCUUAUGUUAUCGUCUUCCGCAAGGAAAAGGAGGAUGAGUUCUAUAGGAACCAAGGGCGGGCAUGGGAAACUGAAGUCAUCUAAGUCGGUAUUUCGGUCGCAGAAGGCCAGUCUGCAAUUUCCGGUGGGUAGAUCGCCCGAUUUCUCAAAGCCGGAAAGUAUGUUGAGCGAGUUGGUGCGGGUGCGCCUCUCUACCUCUUUUCCAUGCUCGAGUAUCUCGCAGCCGAGUUCGAUCUACAUUAUCUAAUUUGGUCGACCGGAUCAUUGAUGACCACAUGGCGAGGAUGGGGAGCAAAGCUGACCAACACCCCGACAAGGUGGAUGAGCUUCUAGCCUUUAUCGGAGAUGUUGCCUUUGCAGGAACAGGGGAUGCGCCGGAUGAAGCUGCCCUCUCUAUAAAGCUCACAAGAGAUAACAUCAAAGCCAUAAUCAUGGUGCUUGGAGGAAGGGGCAGAGGAGUUCAUAGUGAAGCCGGUGAAGCCCUCUGAUUUGAAGAGGUUGAAGGAUUAUCUUGUUGGGAAGAAGGUGGUGGAGCAAGUAGGAGAGGGGAUUCAAGCUCAAUCGUGCAAAAGG